GACGAACGCUGGCGGCGUGCUUAACACAUGCAAGUCGAACGGAAAGGCCCCCUUGUGGGGUACUCGAGUGGCGAACGGGUGAGUAACACGUGAGUAACCUACCCUUGACUUUGGGAUAACUUCAGGAAACUGGGGCUAAUACCGGAUAGGAGCUCCUGCUGCAUGGUGGGGGUUGGAAAGUUUCGGCGGUUGGGGAUGGACUCGCGGCUUAUCAGCUUGUUGGUGGGGUAGUGGCUCACCAAGGCUUUGACGGGUAGCCGGCCUGAGAGGGUGACCGGCCACAUUGGGACUGAGAUACGGCCCAGACUCCUACGGGAGGCAGCAGUGGGGAAUAUUGAACAAUGGGCGGAAGCCUGAUGCAGCAACGCCGCGUGCGGGAUGACGGCCUUCGGGUUGUAAACCGCUUUCGCCUGUGACGAAGCGUGAGUGACGGUAAUGGGUAAAGAAGCACCGGCUAACUACGUG
rnacentral:rRNA from 1 species